AGGAGAGAAGUUUAUCACAUUCAGCGAGAGCUUCUGAGGGAGAGAACUCGCUGCAAAGCUUUAGAGGAAGAGCUGGAGAACCCAAUGAAUAUUCACCGAUGGAGAAAAUUGGGAGGCAGUGACCCAUCCACCUUUGAAAUGAUACAAAAGAUUCACACACUUCAGAAGAGGUUGAUCCAGAAGACAGAGGAAGUGGUUGAGAAGGAACUCUUGAUUCAAGAAA
rnacentral:sRNA from 1 species